CGGAGGGGCUAGCGUUGUUCGGAAUUACUGGGCGUAAAGCGCGCGUAGGCGGCUUUGUAAGUUAGAGGUGAAAGCCCGGAGCUCAACUCCGGAACUGCCUUUAAGACUGCAUCGCUAGAAUCAUGGAGAGGUGAGUGGAAUUCCGAGUGUAGAGGUGAAAUUACGUGGAUAUUCGGAAGAACACCAGUGGCGAAGGCGACUCACUGGACAUGUAUUUGACGCUGAGGUGCGAAAAGCGUGGGGGAGCAAACAGGAUU
rnacentral:rRNA from 1 species